rnacentral:lncRNA from 1 species
UGAUAAAAUCAUGCAUUAUACCACAAGCAGUACACAUCAGAUUUUUUUCAACAUUCAACAUAACACACCUUUAAGUCGAAACAUUGAACACAAGCAAACUAACAUGUAAACAAACAUAAUACAUAAUUAUACAUAAAGCCAAACAACAAAUAACUAAUCUAACAUACAAGUCUAAAACGCAAAUGCUUUAAGCACCACAUAUUACUCUAUUCUACAAACACCAACACACAAUAACAGAACAAUUUAGAAACC